rfam:Methanosalsum zhilinae DSM 4017, complete genome.
UAGGGUCCUGAGACUUCACUGACUGCCCAGGGUAACAUCGCUGCCGAUGCACCUGGUGGCAUGAACUCAAAUGAUAGUCAUGAAGUCUCUCAGCUAAACG